AGGUUAUGUUUUGAAAACCAUGCCUGACGCUAAAAACCCGACGUGACAUUUUUUUUUUGCUUUUAUUUAAAUUUAUUCGAAAAAGAGGUUUUCAAAAACAUAUUCCAGAAUAAGAACCAACUCUUUUUCAAGACAUGCUUGCUGGGUUGAAGAAUAUUAGGAGGCCCUUCUCCUCCCUAUACUUAGAAGAAGAUUUUCAGGUACCGCGAAGAGCCCAGAGACGUGCCACAAGAUCCUGCCGUGUGGAUAUACCACGUUGAAGGUCAAUGUUGUUUUGUCCAGCUGGUUCAUGAAGAGCUUCCACUGAUGGUUGUUGUGCAAGUUCCCUUGCUUGCUCUUCUUCUGUCAACCUUACUUCAGACACGUUGUUUUCAUUACAAAUAUUGUGCAAUAUUACACAAGCAUUUGUAAUUAAGCCAGCAACCUGUGGUCGAUAAUGCAACGCCUUGUGGCACAAGAGACAACGGAAACGGGCUUUGAGAAGACUUAUUGUACUUUCCAUCACAUUCAUAGCCUUUACAUGCUUUUGCGUAUAAUACGCUUCCGGUGUGU